GACAGGUGGUGCAUGGUUGUCGUCAGCUCGUGUCGUGAGAUGUUGGGUUAAGUCCCGCAACGAGCGCAACCCUUAUCCUUAGUAGCCAGCAGUUCGGCUGGGCACUCUAGGGAGACUGCCAGGGAUAACCUGGAGGAAGGUGGGGAUGACGUCCAAUCAUCAUGCCCCUUAUGAUUUGGGCUACCCACGUGCUACAAUGGCGUAAACAAAGUGAAUCGAGAGUGUGAGCUUAAGCAAAUCCCAAAAAUAACGUCUCAAUUCGGAUUGGAGUCUGCAACUCGACUACAUGAAGCUGGAAUCCCUAGUAAUCCCAGAUCAAAAUGCUGCGGUGAAUACCUUCCCGGGCG
rnacentral:rRNA from 1 species